ensembl:snoRNA SNORA55 small nucleolar RNA, H/ACA box 55
GCACCUCACAACAAUCCGGUCGAUUCUCUUCAGUGUUUUGACACGGGUCACACUGGUGCUAUAGAGACUCAACGUGAAUCCAGAUGGCCCUCCUCUUCCUGUGGAGCCUGUCUCUACAACUUUGAUACACGA